rnacentral:rRNA from 1 species
CCAAUAGCGUAUAUUAAAGUUGUUGCAGUUAAAAAGCUCGUAGUUGAAUUUCGGGAUCAAUUUGCUGGUCGUGCCUUCGGUACGCACUGGUAUUAUUGGUUUCUCCUUUCUGAUGAAUCGCGAUGUCAUUAAUUUGGUGUCGUGGGGAAUCAGGACUGUUACUUUGAAAAAAUUAGAGUGUUUAAAGCAGGCUCACGCUUGAAUACAUUAGCAUGGAAUA